rnacentral:lncRNA from 1 species
GUGAUUCGUUCUCGGAAGAAAUGGGUAUACUCGCUGAAAUCGAUUAAGACACAGUGAAAACACUAUCCCCCUAACACAUUUGAAAAUUAUAUUUUUUUCUCUGCAAUUGCAAAAGAAAUGAUUUUUAUUUAUUUUGAAGACGCAGAGAACAGAGAGGAAGACAAAUGAUAGUGACGAAGAUCUGAUUUUCCGGUCACCGCGAAAAAAG